rnacentral:ncRNA from 1 species
UUGUUGGAGAGUUUGAUCCUGGCUCAGGAUGAACGCUGGCGGCGUGCUUAACACAUGCAAGUCGAACGGAAAGGCUCUUGCUUGCAAGGG